CGGGGUGACCCGAGGGAUAGCGCCACAGAAAGCAAACCUCCUGCGUUUCGGCGCGGGUAAGGGUGAAAGGGUGGGGUAAGAGCCCACCGCGUCUCUGGCAACAGCGACGGCAUGGCAAGCCCCGCCUGGAGCAAGACCGAAUAGGGACGUCGCGCGACUUCGGUCGCAGGGUUCACCGCCCGAGGCGUCCGGGUAGGUCGCGAGAACCGUCCAGCGAUGGGCGGUCCAGAGGAAUGAUCGUCACCGUCUUCGGACGGGACAGAACCCGGCUUACAGGCCGUCUGGCAUU
rnacentral:RNase_P_RNA from 1 species